UACUUGGUAUAGUACGGGAUUUACAUCCUUCUGAAUAACUCUAUCGUACCGCACCGAAGUUCUUCCAAGCUGCUUAUCAACUUUGUGGUAGUUUUGCGACUAUGGACGGGACGGAGAAUAAGGGUUCGACGGAGAGGGAGCCUACGGCUACC
rnacentral:rRNA from 1 species